rnacentral:rRNA from 1 species
UACAGAGGUCCCAAGCGUUGUUCGGAAUUAUUGGGCGUAAAGGGUGCGUAGGCGGUUUGGUAAGUCUUGUGUGAAAUCUACAGGCUCAACUUGUAGUCUGCACGAGAAACUGCCGGGCUUGAGUGUGGGAGAGGGAUGCGGAAUUCCAGGUGUAGCGGUGAAAUGCGUAGAUAUCUGGAGGAACACCGGGUGGCGAAGGCGGCAUCCUGGGACCAUUACUGACGCUGAGGAGCGAAAGCCAGGGGGAGCAAAGCGGGG